UACGUAGGUGGCAAGCGUUGUCCGGAUUUAUUGGGUUUAAAGGGUGCGUAGGCGGCUUUGUAAGUCAGUGGUGAAAUACGGUAGCUUAACUAUCGAGGUGCCAUUGAUACUGCAGAGCUUGAGUACAGAUGAGGUAGGCGGAAUUGACGGUGUAGCGGUGAAAUGCUUAGAUAUCGUCAAGAACACCUAUAGCGAAGGCAGCUUACUAGGCUGUAACUGACGCUGAGGCGCGACAGCGUGGGGAGCAAACAGG
rnacentral:rRNA from 1 species